CAAAUUCCUUUUGUGCAAAUCAAACAGACCACGUUCACCAAGGUGACCCAAACGUAAAUGCCACAACCUAGUAGUAUCAUCACUAGACUCAACAGAAUGGAAACAGUAAGAGAAAACCU